GAGUUUGAUCGUGGCUCAGAUUGAACGCUAGCGGCAUGGCUAAAGCAUGCAAGUCGAACGAACCCGCAAGGGUGAGUGGCGAAAGGGUCAGUAAUAACAUCGAACGUACCCCGAGGUGUGGGAUAGGCAUGGGAAACGUAGUGCGUAAUACCACAUGAUCUCUCCGGAGCAAAGGUUUACCGCCUUGGGAUCGGCGAUGUUCCUAUCAGCUAGUUGGCGGGGUAAAGGCCCACCAAGGCGAUGACGGGUAGCAGGUGUGAGAGCACGACCUGCGACAUCGGGACUGAGACACUGCCCGGACUCCUACGGGAGGCUGCAGCGACGAAUCUUCCGCAAUGGGCGCAAGCCUGACGGAGCAAUGCCGCGUGUGGGAUGAAGCGCCUUCGGUGUGUAAACCACUGUCAGAGAAUAGAAACACUGAUCAUUCUCAAAGGAAGAGACGGCUAACCCUGUGCCA
rnacentral:rRNA from 1 species